GGGUUGUGAGGUUAAGCGACUAAGCGUACACGGUGGAUGCCCUGGCAGUCAGAGGCGAUGAAGGGCGUGCUAAUCUGCGAUAAGCGCCGGUAAGGUGAUAUGAACCGUUAUAACCGGCGAUACCCGAAUGGGGAAACCCAGUGUGAUUCGUCACACUAUCAUUAACUGAAUCCAUAGGUUAAUGAGGCGAACCGGGGGAACUGAAACAUCUAAGUACCCCGAGGAAAAGAAAUCAACCGAGAUUCCCCCAGUAGCGGCGAGCGAACGGGGAGGAGCCCAGAGCCUGAAUCAGCAUGUGUGUUAGUGGAAGCGUCUGGAAAGGCGCGCGAUACAGGGUGACAGCCCCGUACACAAAAGCGCAUGUGCUGUGAGCUCGAUGAGUAGGGCGGGACACGUGGUAUCCUGUCUGAAUAUGGGGGGACCAUCCUCCAAGGCUAAAUACUCCUGACUGACCGAUAGUGAACCAGUACCGUGAGGGAAAGGCGAAAAGAACCCCGGCGAGGGGAGUGAAAAAGAACCUGAAACCGUGUACGUACAAGCAGUGGGAGCACCCUUUUGGGUGUGACUGCGUACCUUUUGUAUAAUGGGUCAGCGACUUAUAUUCUGUAGCAAGGUUAACCGAAUAGGGGAGCCGUAGGGAAACCGAGUCUUAACCGGGCGUUAAGUUGCAGGGUAUAGACCCGAAACCCGGUGAUCUAGCCAUGGGCAGGUUGAAGGUUGGGUAACACUAACUGGAGGACCGAACCGACUAAUGUUGAAAAAUUAGCGGAUGACCUGUGGCUGGGGGUGAAAGGCCAAUCAAACCGGGAGAUAGCUGGUUCUCCCCGAAAGCUAUUUAGGUAGCGCCUCGUGAAUUCAUCUCCGGGGGUAGAGCACUGUUUCGGCUAGGGGCCAUCCCGGCUUACCAACCCGAUGCAAACUGCGAAUACCGGAGAAUGUUAUCACGGGAGACACACGGCGGGUGCUAACGUCCGUCGUGAAGAGGGAAACAACCCAGACCGCCAGCUAAGGUCCCAAAGUCAUGGUUAAGUGGGAAACGAUGUGGGAAGGCCCAGACAGCCAGGAUGUUGGCUUAGAAGCAGCCAUCAUUUAAAGAAAGCGUAAUAGCUCACUGGUCGAGUCGGCCUGCGCGGAAGAUGUAACGGGCUAAACCAUGCACCGAAGCUGCGGCAGCGACACUGUGUGUUGUUGGGUAGGGGAGCGUUCUGUAAGCCUGUGAAGGUGUGUCGUGAGGCAUGCUGGAGGUAUCAGAAGUGCGAAUGCUGACAUAAGUAACGAUAAAGCGGGUGAAAAGCCCGCUCGCCGGAAGACCAAGGGUUCCUGUCCAACGUUAAUCGGGGCAGGGUGAGUCGACCCCUAAGGCGAGGCCGAAAGGCGUAGUCGAUGGGAAACAGGUUAAUAUUCCUGUACUUGGUGUUACUGCGAAGGGGGACGGAGAAGGCUAUGUUGGCCGGGCGACGGUUGUCCCGGUUUAAGCGUGUAGGUGUGUGUUCCAGGUAAAUCCGGUUCACUUUAACACUGAGGCGUGAUGACGAGGCACUACGGUGCUGAAGCAACAAAUGCCCUGCUUCCAGGAAAAGCCUCUAAGCAUCAGGUAACAUCAAAUCGUACCCCAAACCGACACAGGUGGUCAGGUAGAGAAUACCAAGGCGCUUGAGAGAACUCGGGUGAAGGAACUAGGCAAAAUGGUGCCGUAACUUCGGGAGAAGGCACGCUGACACGUAGGUGAAGUGAUUUACUCAUGGAGCUGAAGUCAGUCGAAGAUACCAGCUGGCUGCAACUGUUUAUUAAAAACACAGCACUGUGCAAACACGAAAGUGGACGUAUACGGUGUGACGCCUGCCCGGUGCCGGAAGGUUAAUUGAUGGGGUCAGCGCAAGCGAAGCUCCUGAUCGAAGCCCCGGUAAACGGCGGCCGUAACUAUAACGGUCCUAAGGUAGCGAAAUUCCUUGUCGGGUAAGUUCCGACCUGCACGAAUGGCGUAAUGAUGGCCAGGCUGUCUCCACCCGAGACUCAGUGAAAUUGAACUCGCUGUGAAGAUGCAGUGUACCCGCGGCAAGACGGAAAGACCCGUGAACCUUUACUAUAGCUUGACACUGAACAUUGAGCCUUGAUGUGUAGGAUAGGUGGGAGGCUUUGAAGCGUGGACGCCAGUCUGCGUGGAGCCGACCUUGAAAUACCACCCUUUAAUGUUUGAUGUUCUAACGUGGACCCGUAAUCCGGGUUGCGGACAGUGUCUGGUGGGUAGUUUGACUGGGGCGGUCUCCUCCUAAAGAGUAACGGAGGAGCACGAAGGUUGGCUAAUCCUGGUCGGACAUCAGGAGGUUAGUGCAAUGGCAUAAGCCAGCUUGACUGCGAGCGUGACGGCGCGAGCAGGUGCGAAAGCAGGUCAUAGUGAUCCGGUGGUUCUGAAUGGAAGGGCCAUCGCUCAACGGAUAAAAGGUACUCCGGGGAUAACAGGCUGAUACCGCCCAAGAGUUCAUAUCGACGGCGGUGUUUGGCACCUCGAUGUCGGCUCAUCACAUCCUGGGGCUGAAGUAGGUCCCAAGGGUAUGGCUGUUCGCCAUUUAAAGUGGUACGCGAGCUGGGUUUAGAACGUCGUGAGACAGUUCGGUCCCUAUCUGCCGUGGGCGCUGGAGAACUGAGGGGGGCUGCUCCUAGUACGAGAGGACCGGAGUGGACGCAUCACUGGUGUUCGGGUUGUCAUGCCAAUGGCACUGCCCGGUAGCUAAAUGCGGAAGAGAUAAGUGCUGAAAGCAUCUAAGCACGAAACUUGCCCGAGAUGAGUUCUCCCUGAGACUUAGAGUCUCCUGAAGGAACGUUGAAGACGACGACGUUGAUAGGCCGGGUGUGUAAGCGCAGCGAUGCGUUGAGCUAACCGGUACUAAUGAACCGUGAGGCUUAACCUUACAACGCCGAAG
rnacentral:rRNA from 1 species